GAUGAACGCUGGCGGCGUGCCUAAUACAUGCAAGUCGAGCGAACUGUCCAGAAUCUUUCUUCUCUGAUUUUAUCGGCGGACGGGUGAUUCACACAUGGAUAACCUACCUCUAAGACUGUUAUACCUUCGGGAAACCGGACCUACUACCGGAUAAUAUUUUGCCCCUCAUGGUUCACACGUGUAAUUCGGUCUUUCUUUCACUUAUAGCUCUCUCCGCCCUGCAUGAGCUAGUUGUUAAGGUAACGGCUUAACAAGGAAACGAUGCAUACCCGACCUGAGAGGGUGGACGAGCACACUGGAACUGAGACAGGGCACAGACACCUACGGGAGGAAGCAGUAGGGAAUCUUCCGCAAUGGGCGAAAGCCUGACGGAGCAAAGCCGCGGGAGGGAUGAAGGGCUUAGGAUGGGAAAACUAUGUUAGUAGGGAAGAACAAAUGUGUAAGUAACUGGGCACAUCAUGACGGUACCUAAUCAGAAAGCCACGGCUAACUACGUG
rnacentral:rRNA from 1 species